CUCCACACAGGUGCUUUGGAUCUCGUGAGCGUCUGUCUCCCAGGAUACAAUGAUCUUCACAAACAAAAGGAGCACACCAAUUUGUUUGUACGGCGAACCAAAAAUUGAGUUUUUGUACUCUCUUUGAAUGAACUCACUUAUGCUCUCUAAGAACUCUAGAAUGAGAGAACUAGAUGAAUUGGAAAAAUUCGGUGUUUAGAAUGGUUGGAG
rnacentral:lncRNA from 1 species